rnacentral:rRNA from 1 species
UACAGAGGUCUCAAGCGUUGUUCGGAUUCAUUGGGCGUAAAGGGUGCGUAGGCGGCGCGGUAAGUCGGGUGUGAAAUCUUGGAGCUUAACUCCGAAACUGCAUUCGAUACUGCCGUGCUUGAGGACUGGAGAGGAGACUGGAAUUUACGGUGUAGCGGUGAAAUGCGUAGAUAUCGUAAGGAAGACCAGGUGGCGAAGGCGGGUCUCUGGACAGUUCCUGA